rnacentral:rRNA from 1 species
UUGAUCAUGGCUCAGAUUGAACGCUGGCGGCAAUGCUUUACACAUGCAAGUCGAACGGUAACAGGUCUUCGGAUGCUGACGAGUGGCGAACGGGUGAGUAAUACAUCGGAACGUGCCUAGUAGUGGGGGAUAACUACUCGAAAGAGUAGCUAAUACCGCAUGAGAUCUACGGAUGAAAGCAGGGGACCUUCGGGCCUUGUGCUACUAGAGCGGCUGAUGGCAGAUUAGGUAGUUGGUGGGGUAAAGGCUUACCAAGCCUGCGAUCUGUAGCUGGUCUGAGAGGACGACCAGCCACACUGGGACUGAGACACGGCCCAGACUCCUACGGGAGGCAGCAGUGGGGAAUUUUGGACAAUGGGCGAAAGCCUGAUCCAGCAAUGCCGCGUGCAGGAUGAAGGCCCUCGGGUUGUAAACUGCUUUUGUACGGAACGAAAAGCCUGGGGCUAAUAUCCCCGGGUCAUGACGGUAACCGUAAGAAUAAGCACCGGCUAACUACGUGCCAGCAGCCGCGGUAAUACGUAGGGUGCAAGCGUUAAUC